rnacentral:rRNA from 1 species
AGUGAACGCUGGCGGUAGGCCUAACACAUGCAAGUCGAACGGCAGCACAGUAAGAGCUUGCUCUUACGGGUGGCGAGUGGCGGACGGGUGAGGAAUACAUCGGAAUCUACUUUUUCGUGGGGGAUAACGUAGGGAAACUUACGCUAAUACCGCAUACGACCUACGGGUGAAAGCAGGGGAUCUUCGGACCUUGCGCGAUUGAAUGAGCCGAUGUCGGAUUAGCUAGUUGGCGGGGUAAAGGCCCACCAAGGCGACGAUCCGUAGCUGGUCUGAGAGGAUGAUCAGCCACACUGGAACUGAGACACGGUCCAGACCCCUACGGGAGGCAGCAGUGGGGAAUAUUGGACAAUGGGCGCAAGCCUGAUCCAGCCAUACCGCGUGGGUGAAGAAGGCCUUCGGGUUGUAAAGCCCUUUUGUUGGGAAAGAAAAGCAGCAGGUUAAUACCCCGCUGUUCUGACGGUACCCAAAGAAUAAGCACCGGCAAACUUCGUG